CAGCAAUCGAGCAAGAGGAAAAACAGCCCCGCGCCCCUCACUCCUCCCUCCCUCGUCCGCCGCCACUCCCUCCCACCUCCUCCUCCUCCUCCUCCUACGCUCUAGGAGCCCCGCCGCCGACUGCUACUCCUCCACCGCCUCGCCUCUUCCCCCUCCUUGCCUUCCCAUCGCUCGUCUUCAGGCUGCAGCGGUGAUUCCCGAUCUGAGCCGUCUUUUCUUUUCCCGUCCCACUCGCCUCCCCCUCCUCGUCACCCUCCUCUCUCUCUCUCCCCCGCGGCUAGGAUUCGGGCUAGGGUUCGGGCGCCUUCCCUUCUCUCCUCCUCUACCCAACGCCGCCUCCCCUCCUUUCUCUCCUUCUCCACUAACGAGGCCGGGCCAGGAGCAGCGAGGCCGGGGCGGCGGUGCGGACAAGAAACUGUGGGCUCUCCUCCGCAAAUCUCUACCGGGACGACGGUAGCCGGAGGAGGAUCCCCGGUCAACGGCGCCCCGGGCGCUCACUGCCAAGAAGCCGCCGGAGGAGGAACUCGACCUGGACAACCGCCGCUGGACGAAGAGCCCCGAAAAAAAUCCCCCAACCACCCCUGCGCCACCGCCUCUUCACCUUCGACCACGGGUUGCAACGGUCAGAGGACCAAGUUGGAGCAUACUAGGUAAAUGGGCCUUGCCGUGAGUCGUGGUGCAACAGUGACCUCGAUUGGCAGGGCAAUGGUCAGAUACGAGUCAGCACCAAAGAUGACUGUAAGCACUCAAAAAAGUUUACCACGCUAGAGCUAUGUCAGGUUGUACGGGGGCAGUUGAUGAAUAUACUUGUGACACUUAUACUCAGCAAUGCCGACAAACAUGGUUUAUGAUGAUAUUGGUGGUCUGAAGCUUUAGAUCGUCGGGGCUGCUCUCAUUCGUUCAAUUUGCCAGUGAUCCUUCCAUUCUACUGCUGCUCAUUAUUAUCAUAUGAAGGAGGCUGAUCUAUGUUCUCUGUUUGUUGGGUCCUUCGUGUCAUUAUGAACAAGGAACAUGUAUAACCUUUCAAGUUCACUGAUGUGGUUACCACUACAACACACGUCCCUCUAAGGACCAAGGGUGGGCAUGAUCUUCUACAAGGUUGUCUGUGACUAUUAGUACGGGAUCAACUUUGCGGUGUCCCCAUCGCUUCAAGUCAAGCUAAUAGAGCUAAAUGGGUAUCCAAUUUUAGAAAGCACACUUAAGAAACAUGCACACGUGUCUUUAGAUCCUAUGGAGCAUUCCUAAUAAUGACCAUCUAUUUAACUAUCUUGGAUCAUUACCAUUACAAAAUGCAGCAUGGCAUUCAUAAUGUUCAGUUAUUCAUAAAUGUGGCAUUUAAUUAUUCUCUUGGCAUGAUAUUUAAGCAUGUUGCAUAUACCAAUCUGUUGAUAAUUCAAUUAUUGAUUCUGAUGUACAAACAUGCAAAACCAUUGCCUGUUUGGAUGAUGCACAUGAGUAUGUUUUUGUUAGUUUUCGGUGAUGUAUGUCGUGAAGCGGGACGGGCGGACGGAGACGGUGCACUUCGACAAGAUCACGGUGUGGUUCAAGAAGCUCAGCUAUGGGCUCAGCCAGGAGCACCGCGACCCCGUGCUCGGUCUGCGUCAGGGUAUACAUGGGCGUCACCACCAGCCAGCUCGACGAGCUCGCCGCCGAGACCGCCGCCGCGCUCACGGCCUCCCAGCCUGACUAUGCCUCCCUCGCGGCAAGGAUUGUUGUGCCCAACCUGCCGCCAAGUGGAAAUAGUCUGUGUGGCGCUUGUAAAUAGAGAGCAUUCUGGUAGAAAGCUGAAAGAUUAGCAAGACUGGCUAAAUUCUGAACAUGUUCCAUGUGAGAGAAAUAGCAUGUUGAUUUCAUCUUGAAAUAAUCAUAGCUGAGGGACGAGCUUCGUAACUAAGGGUCAUGUGUAGAGCUGAAGGAAGAAGUUGCGAGGCUUGGAACUCUCCUUGUGAAGGGCUCAGGACAGCAGUGAGGACAAUGCCUCUUUAGUUGUAAUUGUGAUACUCCUGAUCUGCAAGUAAACACUCCUGUGAUACUAAAUGUUGGUUGUUAGUACAGAGGUGGUGACAUUAGUUGGUUCUCUGGUAUUGAUUUCAUGAUUUGUGGUUAAUACAUGAUGUAAUACAAUCCACACUGCAUUAUAUUUCCAGUUACAUCUUUUACUUACUCA